UCGCUGACGACCGGCGCACGGGUGCGUAACGCGUAUAGAACCUACCUUUUACAGGGGAAUAGCCUUUAGAAAUGAAGAUUAAUAUCUCAUAGUAUUGAGAAGUGGCAUCACUUUUUAAUUAAAGAUUUAUUGGUAAAAGAUGGCUAUGCGUCCUAUUAGCUAGAUGGUAAGGUAACGGCUUACCAUGGCUACGAUAGGUAGGGGGCCUGAGAGGAUGAUCCCCCACACUGGUACUGAGACACGGACCAGACUCC
rnacentral:rRNA from 1 species